rnacentral:sRNA from 1 species
GGUGAUUUCUUCUUCUUUUU